GGACUUAACGAUAACUGAAAAAAUUGAAUUAUAAAUGCCAAUGCAUUGCUGGCAUAGUCAUUUCUUUCAAUUCAUCAUGAUUAGUUUUGCAGUUAAAUCUCUGAAUUAUGCCAUUACAACUCCAACAAUAAAUCAGAGGUUGGAAAACUGCCAAACAUCCAACCCCACCCCAAAGCUCCACUAAGUGAGUAUCUCAAUCAGUAUACAAGGUAGGAAAGGGUGAAAAUGAAUUGACCAAGCUUAAUAUUCUAUUGUCCAGGCUUGGCUCAACUAAAUUGUGGCACUGAUUGAGUUU
rnacentral:misc_RNA from 1 species